rnacentral:rRNA from 1 species
AGAGUUUGAUCAUGGCUCAGAUUGAACGCUGGCGGAAUGCUUUACACAUGCAAGUCGAGCGGCAGCGCGGGGCAACCUGGCGGCGAGCGGCGAACGGGUGAGUAAUGCAUCGGAACGUGUCCAUGUCGUGGGGGAUAGCCCGGCGAAAGCCGGAUUAAUACCGCAUACGCCCGAGAGGGGAAAGUGGGGGACCGCAAGGCCUCACGCGAUUGGAUCGGCCGAUGUCCGAUUAGCUAGUUGGCGGGGUAAAGGCCCACCAAGCCGACGAUCUGUAGCUGGUCUGAGAGGACGACCAGCCACACUGGGACUGAGACACGGCCCAGACUCCUACGGGAGGCAGCAGUGGGGAAUUUUGGACAAUGGGCGCAAGCCUGAUCCAGCCAUUCCGCGUGCAGGAUGAAGGCCUUCGGGUUGUAAACUGCUUUUGUACGGAACGAAAAGCCUUCUUCUAAUACAGGAGGGUCAUGACGGUACCGUAAGAAUAAGCACCGGCUAACUACGUGCCAGCAGCCGCGGUAAUACGUAGGGUGCAAGCGUUAAUCGGAAUUACUGGGCGUAAAGCGUGCGCAGGCGGUUAUGUAAGACAGUUGUGAAAUCCCCGGGCUCAACCUGGGAACUGCAUCUGUGACUGCAUAGCUAGAGUACGGUAGAGGGGGAUGGAAUUCCGCGUGUAGCAGUGAAAUGCGUAGAUAUGCGGAGGAACACCGAUGGCGAAGGCAAUCCCCUGGACCUGUACUGACGCUCAUGCACGAAAGCGUGGGGAGCAAACAGGAUUAGAUACCCUAGUAGUCC